rnacentral:rRNA from 1 species
UACGGAGGGGGCUAGCGUUGUUCGGAAUUACUGGGCGUAAAGCGCACGUAGGCGGCUUUGUAAGUCAGAGGUGAAAGCCUGGAGCUCAACUCCAGAACUGCCUUUGAGACUGCAUCGCUUGAAUCCAGGAGAGGUGAGUGGAAUUCCGAGUGUAGAGGUGAAAUUCGUAGAUAUUCGGAAGAACACCAGUGGCGAAGGCGGCUCACUGGCCCAUUACUGACGCUGAGGCACGAAAGCGUGGGGAGCAAACAGG